rnacentral:rRNA from 1 species
GACGAACGCUGGCGGCGUGCCUAAUACAUGCAAGUAGAACGCACAGUUUAUACCGUAGCUUGCUACACCAUAGACUGUGAGUUGCGAACGGGUGAGUAACGCGUAGGUAACCUGCCUGGUAGCGGGGGAUAACUAUUGGAAACGAUAGCUAAUACCGCAUAAUAUUAAUUAUUGCAUGAUAAUUAAUUGAAAGGUGCAAUUGCACCACUACCAGAUGGACCUGCGUUGUAUUAGCUAGUAGGUGAGGUAACGGCUCACCUAGGCGACGAUACAUAGCCGACCUGAGAGGGUGAUCGGCCACACUGGGACUGAGACACGGCCCAGACUCCUACGGGGGGCAGCAGUAGGGAAUCUUCGGCAAUAGACGAAAGUCUGACCGAGCAACGCCGCGUGAGUGAAGAAGGUUUUCGGAUCGUAAAGCUCUGUUGUAAGAGAAGAACGGGUGUGAGAGUGGAAAGUUCACACUGUGACGGUAUCUUACCAGAAAGGGACGGCUAACUACGUG